rnacentral:tRNA from 1 species
GGGCGCCUAGCUCAGUUGGUUAGAGCAUCUCGCUUACACCGAGAGGGUCAGGGGUUCGAAUCCCUUGGCGCCCACCA